rnacentral:misc_RNA from 1 species
CCAAACUUGGUCAUUUAGAGGAAGUAAAAGUCGUAACAAGGUUUCCGUAGGUGAACCUGCGGAAGGAUCAUUAUUGAAUUUGGGCUCCGGCCCUUCUCCCUGGCUGUGCGGCCUCGGCCUGCACGCCGGUGGAAACUCCGUCUCACACCUUGUGCACCUUCUCGACGGUGGCUUCGGCCGCCGCCGCUUUUACAUGUAACACCUGUGUCAGAAUGUCUUGUUGUGUUAAUCUUAACAACUUUCAACAACGGAUCUCUUGGCUCUCGCAUCGAUGAAGAACGCAGC